rnacentral:lncRNA from 1 species
GCAUUACAGUACUCAUAUAAGAGCUAGUCACUGAUUGGCUGAGAGGACACACUCUGUACACAGGAAAACCACACUUCCUGUUGUUGUUGCCAUGGUGCUGUCAUUCAGCCUGAGGAAGAGAGUCCAAAUGUUAUUAUUGAUGGUAUAGGUCUCACACUCUGCUGGUAUUGAUGGAUGGUAUAGGUCUCACUCUGCUGGUAUUGAUGGAUGGUAUAGGUCUCACACUCUGAUGGUAUUGAUGGUUGGUAUAGGUCUCACUCUGCUGGUAUUGAUGGAUGGUAUAGGUCUCACUCUGCUGGUAUUGAUGGAUGGUAUAGGUCUCACACUCUGCUGGUAUUGAUGGUUGGUAUAGGUCUCACACUCUGCUGGUAUUGAUGGAUGGUAUAGGUCUCACUCUGCUGGUAUUGAUGGAUGGUAUAGGUCUCACUCUGCUGGUAUUGAUGGAUGGUAUAGGUCUCUUCUUCUUCUUCUUUGGUCUCCUCUGUCCCUG